GGGCUAUUAGCUCAGUUGGCUAGAGCGCUGCCCUGAUAAGGCAGAGGCCGCUGGUUCAAGUCCAGCAUAGCCCA
rnacentral:tRNA from 1 species